rnacentral:rRNA from 1 species
UCUUGGUCAUUUAGAGGAAGUAAAAGUCGUAACAAGGUCUCCGUUGGUGAUCUUGGUCAUUUAGAGGAAGUAAAAGUCGUAACAAGGUCUCCGUUGGUGAACCAGCGGAGGGAUCAUUUCCGAGUUUACAACUCCCAAACCCCUGUGAACAUACCUUAAUGUUGCCUCGGCGGAUCAGCCCGCGCCCCGUAAAACGGGACGGCCCGCCAGAGGACCCAAACUCUAAUGUUUCUUAUUGUAACUUCUGAGUAAAACAAACAAAUAAAUCAAAACUUUCAACAACGGAUCUCUUGGUUCUGGCAUCGAUGAAGAACGCAGCAAAAUGCGAUAAGUAAUGUGAAUUGCAGAAUUCAGUGAAUCAUCGAAUCUUUGAACGCACAUUGCGCCCGCUGGUAUUCCGGCGGGCAUGCCUGUUCGAGCGUCAUUUCAACCCUCAAGCCCUCGGGUUUGGUGUUGGGGAUCGGCUCUGCCUUCUGGCGGUGCCGCCCCCGAAAUACAUUGGCGGUCUCGCUGCAGCCUCCAUUGCGUAGUAGCUAACACCUCGCAACUGGAACGCGGCGCGGCCAUGCCGUAAAACCCCAACUUCUGAAUGUUGACCUCGGAUCAGGUAGGAAUACCCGCUGAACUUAAGCAUAUCAAUAAGCGGAGGA